rnacentral:lncRNA from 1 species
UAAAAGCCAUCUGAUAUUUUACUGCAAGCAUGUGGCAGUGAAGACGACAAUGACUGCUAGUAUGGUUUGUGCCACUGCCUUGAUUUCCGCUCAGGCACCAGCAGUCUUACCCACCAUUGCUUUGGUGCAGUUGGUGGAGAUAUCAACGGAUCAAAAGCGCAAGUAAUAUGACUCGGCUCCCUAUCCCCAGUAAAUAUAAAUUUUCGGAACUGUGAUCACAGCCCUGGCUAAAUAGUGCCCCUGAUCAAACCUUCGUAGGCAAAAUGUUUUCUCCAGCUUUCUGCUAGUUCUUAGAAGCCAGUGUGAAGGAAAAGGGAUGUCAUGAAGCAUCACUCUCCAAGCUGAUCAUCUAUUCCAUUGUCUUGAGAAUUAUGUAGAAUAAAAUCACUGUCUCCCUAAAU